rnacentral:RNase_MRP_RNA from 2 species
GCGCCGUCCAAAGAAUCGCCGUCGCAGCACACACACAGGGAGCUUCGCGCUUUCUCUCACCGCUGUGGGGAAAGUCCCCGGAGAUGCAGAGCGCACCAGCCCGCGCACACUCAUUGGAAAGCAUCCGCCCUUAAUCCGGCGGGCCCGUGCGCUGGGUCGUCCUCCCGUCUGCCCCGUCCCUUCUGUUGGGGACGUAGGGUUGGGAUCGGACCGCUCUGCCCGCCCGUAGCCUUGGUUAAUCAAACGCGAAGAUAUGAGCGGACCUCGGGGCGCGGGCACCCGUUGCUCAUAGACAUAGUUAUGCGAUUGUCAGUGCGCGCGUUUCCGAGGCGUGCGUGUCUGGUAACUCAAUGGGGCUCACUCUCGGACGGCG